rnacentral:rRNA from 1 species
GACGGAGGAUGCAAGUGUUAUCCGGAAUCACUGGGCGUAAAGCGUCUGUAGGUUGUUAAACAAGUCAACUGUUAAAUCUUGAGGCUCAACUUCAAAAUCGCAGUCGAAACUGUUUGACUAGAGUAUAGUAGGGGUAAAGGGAAUUUCCAGUGGAGCGGUGAAAUGCGUAGAUAUUGGAAAGAACACCGAUGGCGAAGGCACUUUACUGGGCUAUUACUGACACUCAGAGACGAAAGCUAGGGUAGCAAAUGGGAUUAGAUACCCCAGUAGUCCUAGCCGUAAACAAUGGAUACUAGAUGUUGAACAGAUCGACCUGUGCAGUAUCAAAGCUAACGCGUUAAGUAUCCCGC